rnacentral:SRP_RNA from 1 species
GCUGGGCGUGGUGGCUCAUGCCUGUAAUCCUAGCACUUUGGGAGGCUGAGGUGGGUGGAUCACCUGAGGUCAGGAGUUCAAGACCAGCCUGGCCAACAUGGUGAAACCCCAUCUCUA